CGCCUAUGACGUACCGACAGGCAAACAUUGGCGCUGCUGCACCUAUUCUCACUGUUGGUUUAGCAGUCGGAGUGUUGGUAAGAGAGAAAAGAGCUUGUCGUUACCGUUGUAGUGAGUAGGUUUGAGUUGUCAAAAUGGUUCAUUCUUGUGUUUGUUUUGGAUGCAACAACUCCAAUUUGUCUGGCCAUCGGGUCCACCGAUUUCCAAACAAGAAAGACAACCAUUUCCGUGCUUGGAUACGUUUCGUCCAGUCAAAGAGAAGCAACUUCACUGCCUCGUCCUCGGUGACGAGACACACGGUGUUGUGUGAAAAACACUUCACAUCGGACAGCUACAACCAAGGAGAGCUGAUGGAAUUGCGCCAGGGAUUUCGACGGGUUACUGUGGGUUAGGCUCACAAAUGGAGCUGUGCCAUCUGUGCAUGCAAGUAUACAAGCAACAUCUGACCCUGCAACAAUGAGCUUACUUCUCUUGGCGGCCCUACAUUUCAACAGUAAUGGCAGAGAUGUAGCUCGAACCAGUGAGGGUGAGGCACGCUACGCCGUUAGCUACCCGCGGUUUCGGAAAGGUGGCUGGGUAGUCCGCCGCAUCAAGGAGAAACCAUCUUAUGGAUACGCAACAAAUCGUAUGGUCUCUCUGGUAGAGGAAUACUAGAUCACCACAGGCCGGACAAGGAAGCAGUAGUGUCUUGUGUUCUGCUGCCCCGCCCCCCCUCACCACUUCCCUCCAGAAGGUUGCCAAGGAUGAGGCAGUCAGCCUUACUGUUUUGGUGCAGAAAAGCUGGUUCUUUAAAUUAGUUAAAUUAUUUUUGCUCAAAACCUACUCUGGUCUGCUGGCUUGGAGAGGGCCGUGCUCCUGUCUGAAGUUCAUGUAAGCUAUCUGCAGCACAAAAUGUUUCAGACAGGAGGCUUCAAACCCUGGAUGGAGUGUGAGGCAGGCAAUAUCUUCUGGGGGAUCUAGGUUUUGGACAAGGGACCAAUAGGCGUCGAUCUCCCUACUGCACACACUUCACUGCUGACGGCAUAGCCUCACAUCUACCACACAAGCACCUGUUAAACAAAAUGUGGCUGCAGCGAGACCUUACUCAGGGGACGGGUUGUAGAGCAAGUCUACCACCCAUUUCCCCCAGAUGGAGCCAGUAAGGACAUUGGAGCUGCUGCCAAUUAAGGAAAUGCGCAGCACCUCAGGAGCAGGUGGAAAAGCAGGGCUGAAAUAGCCUGCUUCUCCACUCAUUCAGGGCAUGUAGCUCAUGUUAGCUUACUGUAGGAUACAGCAUGGGUAUUUGAUGCCUUUGCCAAAGAAACUUUAGCGUUUCAAAAUCAUUUGUGCCUGAAAUUCUACUGUGUGGUUAACAUUCAAAGUCAACACCAAGUUUUAUUUAUUUUAUUUAUUAAAAAACAUACCCAUGGGGUUUUAUACAAAAUAGGAUAUGUCCAAAUCACCAUGUAGCUAUAUAUAUUGUAUCUCAAUCCCGGGGUUACAUUGAACAAAAAUAUCGGAUCAAACCCCCUAAGAAAUGUUUCUUGGACAAAAUAGAUUUACACAAAACGUUUUCAUUGAAAGUGCAUUGCCUGAUAAGAGCAUAAUAAAGCAAUAGUAUGAGCAGUAACUGUGGGGGCAUAUCAGGUGAUGUAUUAUUGGUCCUGAAUAGAAUCCCACAAAACCUGUGCCUUCUGGUCGGCAGUAGUAGAGCAAAAUACAUUUAUCAAAAAGUGCUACAGCAUAUAAAAAAAACUUCACUUAGAAAUAAACAGCAACCAUGAGUCUCCUGACAAUGUCGGAUCAUAGCAAGAAGA